UACGUAGGGUGCAAGCGUUUAAUCGGAAUUACUGGGCGUAAAGCGUGCGCAGGCGGUUUUGUAAGUCAGAUGUGAAAUCCCCGGGCUUAACCUGGGAACUGCAUUGGUGACUGGCGGGCUAGAGUAUGGCAGAGGGGGGGUAGAAUUCCACGUGUAGCAGUGAAAUGCGUAGAGAUGUGGAGGAAUACCGAUGGCGAAGGCAGCCCCCUGGGCCAAUACUGACGCUCAUGCACGAAAGCGUGGGGAGCAAACAGG
rnacentral:rRNA from 1 species